CCAAUAGCGUAUAUUAAAGUUGUUGCAGUUAAAAAGCUCGUAGUUGAAUUUCGGGAUUAGUAGAUUGGUCAUGCCUCCGGUAUGUACUGGUCUUACUGGUUCCUCCUUCCUGAUGAACCGUAGUGCCAUUAAUUUGGUGUUGCGGGGAGACUGGACUGUUACUUUGAAAAAAUUAGAGUGUUUAAAGCAGGCUAACGCUUGAAUACAUUAGCAUGGAAUAAUGAAAUAGGACGUUCGAUCCUAUUUUGUUGGUUUCUAGGAUUGACGUAAUGAUUAAUAGGGAUAGUUGGGGGCAUUAGUAUUCAAUUGUCAGAGGUGAAAUUCUUGGAUUUAUUGAAGACUAACUACUGCGAAAGCAUUUGCCAAGGAUGUUUUCAUUAAUCAAGAACGAAAGUUAGGGGAUCGAAGACGAUCAGAUACCGUCGUAGUCUUAACCAUAAACUAUGCCGACUAGGGAUCGGAUGAUGUUAAUUUUUUAAUGACUCAUUCGGCGCCUUACG
rnacentral:rRNA from 1 species